UCAGACUUGAAUCCUACCAACAUUUUCCACUAAUAUCAUGAACUUACUUAAUUCAAUUUGUUAAUUAAUAAAAAAAAGAAAUUGAAAUGAACAAGAAAAGGGGAUUAGGGUAAAAUGUGUGACCUUUGAGCAUCAAACGAAUCUUCUUCCUCCUUCACGAAGAAUACACAGCGGCGGCCGGCUCACCCUUCUUCCUUUCACGAUGAAGCGCUGACGGUGGUUCUUCUUCAUCUUCUCCGACCACCACUCACAAUGCCGCCGUGACUCAUGCUAUCCACAACCUCCUCUUUUCGAUUCCUAACCCCAAUUUCUUCGUUCAAAACUCAAUAACCCCUGAUCGAAGCGUUUGGAAGAACCCUAGGUUCUGAAAUGACGAUCGAUGUUGGGAGGAGAGCAAACCGGAGAGGAGAUUCCGAGCGGUGCGAAAACGAAGAUGAGUGCAAGCAAAUGGAAGAAGGUCACUCCAUGUAAAUAUCUAUGUAUACCUUGAAGAUGAUGAAGAUUGUGCGAUUAUUGGAGUUGAAGGAUCAAGAUGAUGAACGUGAUGAUGAAUUUGCAGAGGGAGUCGAAGAAUGCGUGAAGGCGACUUGUGGAGGGAGCAGUGAAACAGAAAAAUGGUGGUAGUGUGAAUGGAGAUGAUGAAUGAAGUGGGAGUGAUAGUGAAGGUCGAAGGAGGCUAUGCUUCACCUCUUUCAGAGCUUGAUCAAUGCUCUGAAGAGGAUGGUUCAAGAAGCUUUGAAUGAGUUUGGUUAUGGAGGAGAUGGGAAUAUUCAGAGAGAGUGAUGAGAAUGAAGAAUGAAGAAGGUGAAGAUGAUGAAUCAGUGUGAGGUGAUGAACAAAAAAUGGUGGAGUGAAAGGUUCUGUUAUGGUGAGUUGUGAAGAGAGGAAAAAUGGUGGAAGAGAGUGAAGAAUGAUGGAGGGUUCUGUUAUAUAGAGGUUGGUUGGGGGAAGAGAAUCAGUUAGGGCAGAAGGAUUUUGAGCCCUUAGAUUGAAGAAUCUGUUAUGGAACUGAAGGUGGAGAUUGAGUCUGAAGAGGUUAGUUAUUCUUCUGAUUUUUCUGAUAGCUGUUAGUUAGGAGUUAGUUAGUAACUGUUUGGUGGUUAGGUUGUUAGAAGUUAGGAAAUUCUGUUAGUGAAUGUUGGGAGUUGGUUAGAGAUUCGGUUAGGGGUAGUUAUAAGAUGGUUGAGGUUAGUUAGGUAGUAACUGAAUUGGUUAUUGGUUGUUAACAGUUAGUUAUCUGUUAAAAACUGUUGGGGUUGGAGUAAAUAUAUGAUAAAUGUAGGGCUGGCUGCAGGUUGGUUUAAUUGUUGCAGGGACUGUUUUGAAAGUUAGUUAGGAAUGGGAAAAAAGAAUGUUAGUUCUGUUAGAGAAAGAAACAAAUGGGGCUGACUGAGAGUUGAUUGGAUUCUGUUAUGAAUUGUUUCUGAACUGGCUUAGUGUGUUUGAUGCAGGGCAGCUGAAUUGUUAUGCAGGUUUUGGAUUAUGAUUUUGCAGGACUGCUAUGUGUAUGUGGUUAUUGUUUGGUAUUUGUAUGUGAAUGCUUCAUUGAUGCAUGGCUAUUAAUUUAAUAUGUGCAAGGCUGUUUUUGGUUAGGUUUUUAUGUGAAUGUAUGUUAACUUAGUUUAUAUGCAGCUGGAGCUUAUCUUAUGGUUUGAACUGGUGCAGGUUUGGAGGUUUGCUUUAGCUUGAAACGUGGGGCACGAGGCUGUGAAGGCUUGGAAUGGAUGGGUUCGAGAUGGCUCGUGUGCGUAGCGAAGAGCUUGAAACCUGGGUUGUUGAAUUUGUAAUAUAUACUUAGGUGGCUACAGCAAGAAUGUGAACUUGAAUGGGAAUAUUUUGGUUGAACAUGUAUUGACUCAUUAACUCAUGGAAUAGCCUUAGGAAAUUUGUAUAAGCCUUGAUAAUAGUACUGUAAUGAACUUUGGAUUCUUGACCAAGUAGCCUUUUAUGUUUUUUUCUUUAAUUCGAGAAGAACUUCUGAAUCUUGAUGUAAUUUUGACUUAUAGAGGGAUCUUUUCUUCUUUUCC